rnacentral:rRNA from 1 species
AGUUUGAUUCUGGCUCAGGAUGAACGCUGGCGGCAUGCCUAAUACAUGCAAGUCGAACGGAGUGAAGCCUUCGGGUUUCAUUCAGUGGCGAACGGGUGAGUAAUACGCAGGGAACCUGGCCAUGGCAGGGGGAUACACUCUGGAAACGGAGCAUAAGACCCCAUAGGCAGUAAGGCGGCAUCGCCUUACUGUUAAAGAAAGCUGAAAGGCUUUGGCGAUGGAUGGACCUGCGGUGCAUUAGCUUGUUGGUGAGGCAACGGCUUACCAAGGCGAUGAUGCAUAGCCGGCCUGAGAGGGCGGACGGCCACACUGGGACUGAGACACGGCCCAGACUCCUGCGGGAGGCAGCAGUAGGGAAUUUUCGUCAAUGGGCGCAAGCCUGAACGAGCAAUGCCGCGUGAGUGAGGAAGGUCUUCGGACUGUAAAGCUCUGUUGCCGGGGAAAAAGGGGAAAUGCAGGAAAUGGCAUUUCAUGGAUGGUACCCGGCCAGAAAGCCACGGCUAACUACGUGCCAGCAGCCGCGGUAAUACGUAGGUGGCGAGCGUUAUCCGGAAUGAUUGGGCGUAAAGGGUGCGCAGGCGGUCUGUUAAGUCUGAAGGCAAAGGGAUGAGCUCAACUCAUUUAUGAUUCAGGAACUGGCAGACUUGAGGACAGGAGAGGGCGGUGGAACUCCAUGUGUAGCGGUAAAAUGCGCAGAGAUAUGGAAGAACACCAGUGGCGAAGGCGGCCGCCUGGCCUGUGACUGACGCUGAGGCACGAAAGCGUGGGGAGCAAAUAGGAUUAGAUACCCUAGUAGUCCACGCCGUAAACGAUGAGGAGCAGGUGUUGGGAGUGAAAUCUCAGUGCCGAAGCCAACGCAGUGACUCCUCCGCCUGGGGAGUAUGCACGCAAGUGUGAAACUCAAAGGAAUUGACGGGGGCCCGCACAAGCGGUGGAGUAUGUGGUUUAAUUCGAAGCAACGCGAAGAACCUUACCAGGUUUUGACAUCGGAUGCGAAGGCGCAGAGAUGCGCUGGAGGCUAUCAUCCAGACAGGUGGUGCAUGGUUGUCGUCAGCUCGUGUCGUGAGAUGUUCAGUUAAGUCUGGCAACGAGCGCAACCCCCGUGGUAUGUUACUAACGCAUUUGGGCGAGGACUCAUAUCAGACUGCCGGUGACAAACCGGAGGAAGGCGGGGAUGACGUCAAAUCAUCAUGCCCCUUAUGGCCUGGGCUACACACGUACUACAAUGGCGUCUACAGAGGGAAGCGACCCUGAGAAGGGAAGCGAAACCGGAAAAGGGCGUCCCAGUUCGGAUUGAAGUCUGCAACCCGACUUCAUGAAGAUGGAAUCGCUAGUAAUCGCGGAUCAGCAUGCCGCGGUGAAUACGUUCCCGGGCCUUGUACACACCGCCCGUCAAACCAUGGAAGCCGGCAACGCCCGAAGCCGGUGGCAUAACCUUUUAGGAGUGAGCCGUCGAAGGCGGGGCCGAUGACUGGGGUUAAGUCGUAACAAGGUAUCC